UCGUCUUUUCCUCCGCUACUCCUAGAACAGCGCUGCCCCUCCCAUGCCUCUCCGAUCCAAGGUCGCGGCCGUGAAAUAUAGGGCGCGAGUUCACUCCCCAAUGGUCUAUACUUCCUUUCUCAACGAUCUAGUCACUCCCCAUGAACUAGAGUUGGAGAGACCGAGAUGGUACGUGUUCUUCUUUCUCGUAAUCUCGUUACUCAAUUCAAAGAUUAACGAUUAACUGGUAAAUAGCCCUGAUCUCCGGCACUCACGAUUCCACAUCGCACAUCGAUCACAUCUGCAUAGGUCUUCAUCUGCUCUUCAUUAAAUCCAUAUGUGAGAGAGGACUCGGGCAGGAGAUUAGGAGAAAGGGGAAAUUUUAUUCACUCCAUGGCCUCAUCUUCUUGUUCGUGCUGACUCUGGUUGCUGCAGCCUCUGGAUCAAGCCAUUUACAUCCACGUCAAUCUGUUUCCAGGUGCUCUUAUUCCCUCUAUUAAUAAUUUUUAUGCAGCUUGUUCAGUGACAUGUCGCAGGAAAGUAUUUGUCUGGUAGUGAUAAAAGGAAGAGAGAAAAAAGAAUAGAGAAAUUGUAAGAAUCCCAGAAGGAUCAAUUGCUAAUUUUUCAAAACUAGUAAUUCUUCUAGGGAUUCUGUGCAAUUGGCCAUAGCAAAUGUCGAAGCACAAACAACUGACAACAUUGAUGGUGCUGAUGAUGGUAUGAACAAGGGUGAUAAUAAUUCAAGUAAGCAAGAAAACCUUGCUCAUCACCAAACUCAGAAAUGUCGUGUGUCGAUGAACAACAAUCAUUUACUGUUGAUAAUUUUUUUUACAAGAAACUGGGACAGUCUGCUGGAUGAUAAUGCUAGGGAUAUUUUAGUUGACAAGGGCUCCGCGUUCCGUUCCAGGAAGAAUGUAAGUUCAUGCAUUAACUUUAUAUCGCAUGGUAACACAAUUUUUUAUCGUAGCAACCAGUUCAGACAAGGUUAUUUAUUUUGCAAAAAGUAAAUGAUAUGUCCAUUGUAACAAUUAGGAAAUCAAUCUGUUCUGGAGCUGUUACAUCAAUCUAUACAAUGUACUGGAUAGUUACAUUGCUUUUGAAAUAUAUACAAAAUUGAGCUUUUGUGUGUCAAGAAGGGCCCCGUGUUCUUGUCUUGCCCCUGGGCCCCGUAUAUCUGUGGG
rnacentral:lncRNA from 1 species